UAACGGUUAGUGGCGGACGGGUGAGUAAUGCAUAGGAAUCUGGCUUAUGGUGGGGGACAACAGUUGGAAACGGCUGCUAAUACCGCAUAUUAUUUUAGGAUGAAAGGUGCCUUAGGGUGUCGCCAUAAGAUGAGCCUAUGUUAGAUUAGCUAGUUGGUGAGGUAAAGGCUCACCAAGGCUGCGAUCUAUAGCUGUUCUGAGAGGAAGAUCAGCCACACUGGGACUGAGACACGGCCCAGACUCCUACGGGAGGCAGCAGUGGGGAAUAUUGGACAAUGGGGGCAACCCUGAUCCAGCAAUACCAUGUGUGUGAAGAAGGCCUUAGGGUUGUAAAGCACUUUAGUCGCUGAGGAAGGCUAUUAGGUUAAGAGCUAGAUAGUUUGACGUUAGGCGAAGAAUAAGCACCGGCUAACUCCGUGCCAGCAGCCGCGGUAAUACGGAGGGUGCGAGCGUUAAUCGGAAUUACUGGGCGUAAAGGGUUCGUAGGUGGAUAGAUAAGUCAGAUGUGAAAUCCCUGGGCUCAACCUAGGAAUUGCAUUUGAUACUGUUUAUCUAGAGUUCACU
rnacentral:rRNA from 1 species